UGCACGAUCUCCUUUAGCUAAA
rnacentral:misc_RNA from 1 species